UGUGUGUGUGUGUGUGUAUGUAUGUGUGUGUGUGUGUGUGUGUGUGUGUAUAUAUAUAUACACACACACACACACACACACACACACACACAAAUAAAUAAAUUUAGGUACGUAGUACAAUUAAGAAAUAGACCAAAAAUGAA